UCCUUCGGGGGGGGGGUGCAGUAGGGAAUCUUCCGCAAUGGGCGAAAGCCUGACGGAGCAACGCCGCGUGAGUGAUGAAGGUUUUCGGAUCGUAAAGCUCUGUUGCCAGGGAAGAACGUCCGGUAGAGUAACUGCURCCGGAGUGACGGUACCUGAGAAGAAAGCCCCGGCUAACUACGUGCCAGCAGCCGCGGUAAUACGUAGGGGGCAAGCGUUGUCCGGAAUUAUUGGGCGUAAAGCGCGCGCAGGCGGCUAUUUAAGUCUGGUGUUUAAACCUUGGGCUCAACCUGAGGUCGCACUGGAAACUGGGUGGCUUGAGUACAGAAGAGGAAAGUGGAAUUCCACGUGUAGCGGUGAAAUGCGUAGAGAUGUGGAGGAACACCAGUGGCGAAGGCGACUUUCUGGGCUGUAACUGACGCUGAGGCGCGAAAGCGUGGGGAGCAAACAGGAUUARUACCCCCNGGKAAAUCAA
rnacentral:rRNA from 1 species